AGUAGGAUGAAUGAUCGCGGCUGCGUAUUGCAGGUGAGGAAAGUCCGGGCUUCAUAGGGCAGGAUGCCGGAUAACGUCCGGUGGAGGUGACUCCAAGGCUAGUGCAACAGAGAUAUACCGCCAUCGAAAUGAUGGUAAGGGUGGAAAGGCAGUGUAAGAGACUACCGUCCGGCUGGUAACAGGCGGAGCCAUGUAAACCCCAUCCGAAGCAAGACCAAAUAGAAAACCAUAGAUUUGCCCGAUCUGUUUUCAGGUAGGUCGCUUGAAACUGUUGGUGACAGCAGUUCUAGAUAGAUGAUCAUUCUCGACAUAACCCGGCUUACAGUCCUGCUUAU
rnacentral:RNase_P_RNA from 1 species